GGCGACGUGGCCAAGCGGCUAAGGCAGAGGACUGCAAAUCCUUUAUCCCCGGUUCGAAUCCGGGCGUCGCCUCCA
rnacentral:tRNA from 1 species